GACGUAGGAGGCGAGCGUUAUCCGGAUUCACUGGGCGUAAAGCGCAUGUAGGCGGCUCGACAAGUCGUGUGUGUAAGCCCCCGGCUCAACCGGGGGAGGUCAUGCGAGACUGUCGGACUUGAGGGCAGCAGAGGAGCGUGGAACUCCCGGUGUAGCGGUGGAAUGCGUAGAGAUCAGGCGGAACACCCGUGGCGAAGGCGGCCAGCUGGGCCGUCCCUGACGCUGAGGCGCGAAGGCGUGGGGAGCGAACGGG
rnacentral:rRNA from 1 species